rnacentral:rRNA from 1 species
AAGCCUGAUGCAGCGACGCCGCGUGAGUGGAUGACGGCCUUCGGGUUGUAAACCUCUUUCAGCAGGGAAGAAGGCCUUCGGGUGGACGGUACCUGCAGAAGAAGCGCCGGCUAACUACGUGCCAGCAGCCGCGGUAAUACGUAGGGCGCAAGCGUUGUCCGGAAUUAUUGGGCGUAAAGAGCUCGUAGGCGGUCUGUCGCGUCUGGUGUGAAAACCCGAGGCUCAACCUCGGGCUUGCAUCGGGUACGGGCAGACUAGAGUGCGGUAGGGGAGACUGGAAUUCCUGGUGUAGCGGUGGAAUGCGCAGAUAUCAGGAGGAACACCGAUGGCGAAGGCAGGUCUCUGGGCCGCAACUGACGCUGAGGAGCGAAAGCAUGGGGAGCGAACAGGAUUAGAUACCCUGGUAGUCCAUGCCGUAAACGUUGGGCACUAGGUGUGGGGCUCAUUCCACGAGUUCCGUGCCGCAGCUAACGCAUUAAGUGCCCCGCCUGGG